rnacentral:sRNA from 1 species
AUCCCUUUCAAUGGGAGUUGAGGAACUUCGACUGCGUUGCCAAGAUCCCGACUAUGCUUUGGAUGUACCUCCGCGCUCGUGGUCAAGUUCUCGGUCUCGUGAAUGCUCAUGUUGAGGUGGUCCCAUCCGAUAGCGAGGAGGACGACGAAGAAGAGGACAUCGACCCCUCGAAUUGUGUCAAGAAUGAACCCAAGGUAGACGACAAAAAUGAAGCGUCCACUUCGAAUGCUGAAUCGGCGAUGAAGGAGCAUGUUCCUAAACCUCUUCCAUAAAUGUCCCCGAACUUGCUACUUACUUUUUUU